rfam:Candidatus Aminicenantes bacterium 4484_214 ex4484_214_scaffold_5914, whole genome shotgun sequence.
CCGUGCUAGAUGGGGAGCUAGCGGUGCCCUGUAACCCACAACCCGCUCUAGUGGGGUUGAAUUCCCAUCCGAGGCCACUUCUUGUCUGGACUGCGUUCAGGUAAGCGGUGAUGAGGGUGGGGUCCUGCGCAAGGAAGCGCCUGUGAAACCCGUCAGGACCGGGAGGUAGCAGCGGUAGCAGGAGAGCUGCCUGUGCUGCAGAUUAGCCUUGCCUGAGCUGGCUGCCUGAAUGGCGCAGGUAAGGGCUGGUCGAAGAUGGGUGCACGG